rnacentral:rRNA from 1 species
GAGCGCCGUAACAAUACGGAGCGGCAGACGGGAGAGUAACACGUGGGAACGUGCCCUUCAGUUCGGAACAACCCAGGGAAACUUGGGCUAAUACCGGAUACGUCCGUAAGGAGAAAGAUUUAUCGCUGAAGGAUCGGCCCGCGUCUGAUUAGCUAGUUGGUGAGGUAACGGCUCACCAAGGCGACGAUCAGUAGCUGGUCUGAGAGGAUGAUCAGCCUCACUGGGACUGAGACACGGCCCAGACUCCUACGGGAGGCAGCAGUGGGGAAUAUUGGACAAUGGGCGCAAGCCUGAUCCAGCCAUGCCGCGUGGAUGAUGAAGGCCCUAGGGUUGUAAAGUCCUUUCGGCGGGGAAGAUAAUGACGGUACCCGCAGAAGAAGCCCCGGCUAACUUCGUG